GAAUAGGGGAGGCGUAGGGAAACCGAGUCUGAUAAGGGCGCCUAGUUGCUGGACGUAGACCGAAACCAAGUGAUCUAUCCAUGGCCAGGAUGAAGGUGCGGUAACACGCACUGGAGGUCCGAACCCACUAAAUUUGAAAAAUUAGGGGAUGAGCUGUGGAUAGGGGUGAAAGGCUAAACAAACUUGGAAAUAGCUGGUUCUCUCCGAAAAACUAUUUAGGUAGUGCCUCAAGUAUCACCGACGGGGGUAAAGCACUGUUAUGGCUAGGGGGGUCAUCGCGACUUACCAAACCAUUGCAAACUCAGAAUACCGUUGAGUGCGAGCUUGGGAGACAGACAUCGGGUGCUAACGUCCGGUGUCAAGAGGGAAACAACCCAGACCGCCGAUUAAGGUCCCGAAGACAUAGUUAAGUGGGAAACGAGGUGGGAAGGCUUAGACAGCCAGGAGGUUGGCUUAGAAGCAGCCAUCCUUUAAAGAAAGCGUAAUAGCUCACUGGUCGAGUCGUCCUGCGCGGAAGAUGUAACGGGGCUCAAACUAUGCACC
rnacentral:rRNA from 1 species